rnacentral:misc_RNA from 1 species
GUCAUAAUUCCAUUGCUUCCCUGUGACUUCCGUAUAUUACUGAUAUAUCAGAUGUUCAACAUCUAAAUAUGCCCAGACAUCCACAGCCCAAUUGCAAGCAUAUAAUAUUAUCUCCUCUUUGUAAUGGUUAGAAUUGAUAAAUCACUGUCUUCACAUCUUGUGUUGCUCUUCUUCCUCAUCCAAUCACUCUCCAUUCCAAUGCAUUUCCUACAAUUCAUAAUCCAGAUCCUUCUAGUAUCCUUGUGAACAGUAGCAGCAUAACAGGAGAUCCAAAACAAGCAUCUCUUUCUUGUACCAACUUAGAAUCUCUUGUAACUUUUCUCACCUUUGGCCUUUGACAUAUCUUCAUCACUAAAAUCUAAAUCUCCACCAAGACCUAAAAGUUUCUUCUAGUUGCUUCUUAACUAUUCUUAAACUUUCAGCUUCACGAUUACUCAGACCUUGAAAAAACAUUAGAGAACUAACUUUCCCAAGCCCUAAACUAUCAAAUACACAGAAGUGAGCAGGUAACCACUAACCAAUAAAAUCUACAUCUAUAUGACUUCUCAAAAAGCAAGGAAUAAAACAAUUUGCACAAUGACAUAAACACAAACUUAGGAACACAUCUAUUACUAAUUUAGCCGUUUGGUCUAAGCCUCUAAGGCAAAGUAAGAUUUCAAGGUUUUAGA